UGGAAUGCUAGCUGAUCAGCAUAUAUUAUUCGCAUUGAUCAAGAACACAUACGUUUGCUUAAGUAGUCCUUUAUUCGAUCUCUAAACACGAACCAAACAUGAAUUCUGCUCUUGUCCAAGUCUACACGACCUUAAUGUUCCUAUUGGCCCUGAUUCUACCAGUUGCAGCCAUAGAUGAUUAUGACCAAAUUGUAAUCCUCGUGGCUGUUGGCAUUGCUAUUCUAGCCGUCGCCCUCAUUGUUAUGAUUGUUGUCGCUUGUAUCAUAUUGAAAAGGAUGAGAUACCAUUGAGUACCAGACCAGGACCAGUAGUGAAAAAAAAACCCAGAGUAAUUGAAGGAUGGCACGCUAAGACUAAACACAUGUAUAUUCUAAAGAAACACAACCCAACGAAGCAAGCUAUUAAUACAAUCCAUCGACUAUACUCUUUUGGUUCAUUAAACUCUUUUGGUUCAUUAUAUUAACGCA